CUGUACAUAAAAACAAAACAAGGAUAUCCGGGAGAAGUGGUAUCAGCAAUAAUGUCCGCUGCUCCAUAGAAUAUCUUUAUCACAACGGAGGAUGCUGCUAACGCUUGGUGGGCAACGUUAGCAUUUAGCAUCUCUGAAUGUAAACAGUGCACUCAUGUCAACCGAAGGUUCCGGUUGACAGACGGAAACAAACAAUCCGGAGCACGAACUAAAAUAAGUGGGUUUGCUGCUACAGAUUCAUUGAGGUCCCUGUCGCCUAUGGAGUCUCUCAACACCUUUGAAUCUGAGAUGGAGGCUGAUGGACAGGGGAACUACUCUCUGUUUCCUGCUCUGGACAGCAUUGCAAGUCUGUCUGGGACCACUGAAACUCUGGAGAGCGAACCACCUAGUGAUAUUUCAGAGAAGCCAAACCUCACAUGGCUCGAUGCUGCACAGAUUGUCUUGGAAGAAGCUGGUCGCCCUAUGCACAUAAAGGAGAUUAAACAAAGAAUCAUCGACAGAGGACUUGUUCAAUCCAAUGCAAAAUCAAGCCUGGAGGCUGUCAUGUACCGUGAGACACAAAAAGGCAGCAGGAGAUUCAAGAGGAUUGAGAACAGAAAUGGAGUCUUUGCACUGCUGACUGAUGAGGAGCGGCAGCAGGCCCUGCAAGCCUUUACCGCCCAGACUUUCCUCGGCUCUCCGCAGCAGAACACCAUCUCCAGUUCUGGCUCAGGUGCCUCUGCGCCCGCCUUCCCGUCCCCCACCAGUUCCUCAGAUCACAAGACCAAGAUGAAGAGAGGGCCGCGAAAAAACCAGAACGAAAAGUACCGACUUAAGUACCUUAGACUGCGCAAAGCUGCCCGUACCAUGAUAUUUGAGAACGCAGCUCUCUGUGAUGAAAUUGCCCACUUAGAAGAGAAGUUUCUGAGGGCAAAGGAGGAGCGGAGGUUUUUACUGAAGUCAUUGUUGCAGUACCAGUCUUUUUCAGAGGGGGAGAUACUGCCAACGCCUGGCUCAAGCUCCCAUCCACCUGUGCCGCCUGCAGCAUUAACCUCAGGUCCUGCAGGGUCUUCAGGCCUGUCUGGGGGGCAAAACCUUGUGUCAGUGGUGUCAACAGGGGAAGACGGACCUCUUAAAAAACCUAAGAAGGAAAGGAAAGAGCGAGGCAGGGAAAAUGGAAAGGAGGAACUUCCAAAGAAGAUGACUAAGAAGAGAAAGCUGACAGACGGGUCUCGGAAGCUGGUGCAGCCCAUCCCUCUGGACUCAUCUGGUCGCCCCGUCUUUCCCAUCGUAUUGGGAGGUUUAACAGUCUACAGUCUGGGAGAGAUCAUCACAGACAGGAUGCUGUUCCAUGAUGAGUGCGCCAUCUACCCAGUGGGCUUCUGCAGCACACGAGUCUUUGCCAGCAUGAAAAACCCAGACCAGCAGUGCCUCUAUACCUGCCAAAUCAAGGAUGGGGGAACAGGCCCACAGUUUGAGAUUGUACCUGAAGAAGAUCCUCAGAAUGCCAUUGUGGCCUCCUCUGCCCUGACCUGCCACUCCAACUUACUGAAGGCUAUCGCAGCUGUCAGUUCCAAGGCUGUGGCGCCCAUUGUGCCAUCAGGAGCUGACUUCUUUGGCUUUUCACACCCCACCAUCCAGAACCUCAUCCAGAGUUGUCCUGGAGCACGCAAAUGUUGCAACUACCGAUGGAUACGUUUUGAGGUGUGUCGCCCUGGUGAUGGCCAGGUUCCUCACAGCCUAUCUGAGGACGACGCCUCAGUGAACUUUGAGGCCUACCAGAGACACAAGGGCUUUGAUGAGAACAUCAAGACGGAGCACAUAACAGGAAUCUGGGCAGCCUUAAGUUUAACAGCUGGGCUUGUGGCAGGAAGCUCACGGGUAAAAACUCCUUGCUGGGGAAACAAAUAAAAACUGUCUUCUUUCGGGACAACUGCUGUCAGAGCAAAGCAGUGAAGAUGCUCCAAUCACUCAGUUAUACUUUUGCUCUGCUGGAGUGAAUGUGUGUGAAUAACCCUCCUCACCCCACCAACCGCUCCUCCAGAACUCUGCUGUAAAUAAUAUAUCAUAAAUGACAGACGCCGCAGUCUCCUAGCUCCUCUCACCAGCACCACCUGACCUCGCCCACCAUGAAGCCCUCUACCUCAUAUUUCAGCUCUUGAUUCUGAAAGCGCCAGCAGGAAUCCAGCUCACACGUGAUCGCACUCCUCUCAGACUUUCAUUAUUUACUGAACUUACUAUACCACCCCCCGUCUAUUGGAUCUGGCUGGCAAGUUAGCUUCGUGCUUAAUGUGCCAAUAGCAACAUAAACCCAACGCCUCUGUGUUGAGAAAUGCAUUUCUUACUGCAUGUAUAUCAACAUCUGUGCUGAAUUUUCGAAAUUGAGUCCCAGUUGACUUUGACCAGAAUUACUGAAAAAAGGGUUUUUGUUCUUUCCCAUAUACAAGUUACAAUGUACAUGGCACACUAUUGCAUUGGCAUUGAACUGAUGGUACUUUGCUUAAAGUUGCAGUUAUAACUCAUUAUAGGUAACAACUUUUUCCAGUUGAAGCAACAGUUGGUCAUGUUUCUGAGUAAUAUUCAUUGUAUUUCCAUUUUACUUUUAAGUAAAAGUAUUGGCUUUGAAUGUAACACACCCACAUAUACUUAGUUGUUGAUUUGUCAUUUAUUUGUGCAAAUUAAGUUAAGUCAUAAAGGCUCAUUUGGGUUGUAAAUUUUU